GCGGGGGAAGAAGACGCUGCCUCCGCUUACUGCCGGUUUCUGGAGAGCGGCUUGCGCAACGUUCGGGUCACGUAGCCCUGCACGUCGCAGAUCCAGCUAGCGGUUGCUCCUGCGGAGAGCAGAGAUACGUCGUAUGGAAAGGCUUGCUUCGGAGGUGCAGCUGAUCCCACCUAAUGCUCACCUGAAUUUCUUCCGGCCUGUGGCGUGAGCGUGAGAGUCUCCAGGGAAUAAACUGGAAGCCGCAGCGGUCUGAGACAUGCUCUCCGCGAGGGCUCCGCCGCAGCAUCGGGACUCGGAGAAGCGGCUCAGGGAGCGCGGUGCCCGGCGGGGGAGGCAGCAGGAGCAGAAUUUGGAAGGACAUUCUUGCCAUAAAAUCUUCAUUCCUGAACGUAUAUGAGCCAAGAAUGUCUUGCUGCCAAUUUAGGGACAGACUGUCAGCCCUGCUGGGAGCUAUAAGUAUAGACUGGGAUGCAGAAAGCAUCUGACCUGGAUACUGCAUGCCAGCAGUUGGAUUUAUGGACCAUCUAAGACACAGGAAAACGAAUGAACACUUUAUUGACUGUUUUCCCUGAAACUAGCUUUUGUUUAAUCCCAGGAAAUAUUUUCUAUUUAAUAUUAUAACAAUAUUUAAUAUCAUAGGGACAUAGGAUAAUUCAUGUUGGAAGGCACCUCGGGAGAUCAUCUAAUCCAAUCUCCUGCUCAAAGCAGGGUCAGUUAUGAGGUCAGACCAAUAUAUCAAUUGCAGCUAUUAAUGGCAAGUCUGAUUUCACUCUGUCUGAAGAAUUCUAGGCAUAAACAUAUAUAGACCAAAUAAAAAUCCCCAUCAGAACCCA
rnacentral:lncRNA from 1 species